rnacentral:rRNA from 1 species
ACAUGCAAGUCGAACGCGAAAGGGGACGUUCGGCCCCGACGUAGAGUGGCGCACGGGUGGAGUAACGACGUGGAUGAUCUGCCCUCGAUGUUGGGGAAGUAACAAGUUGGAAACGGACUGCUAAUACCGAAUACGCUCCCCCUUUUCACGAUGGGAGGAAAGACGGCCUCUGCUUGCAAGCUGUCGCAUGAGGAUGAGUCCGCGUCCCAUUAGCUAGUUGGUGAGGUAACGGCCCACCAAGGCGACGAUGGGUAGCCGAUUUGAGAGGAUGAUCGGCCACACUGGAACUGAAACACGGUCCAGACUCCUACGGGAGGCAGCAGUGGGGAAUAUUGCGCAAUGGGCGAAAGCCUGACGCAGCGACGCCGCGUGAGGGAUGAAAGGUCUUCGGAUCGUAAACCUCUGUCAGAAGGGAAGAAAGCAGCGGGUGCCAAUCAGCCUGCUGUUGACGGUACCUUCAAAGGAAGCACCGGCUAACUCCGUGCCAGCAGCCGC